rnacentral:lncRNA from 1 species
AUGAUGACUCUGAAGCAUGCAGCACAAUCCUGGGCCAGGGGAUCUCUUCUGUGAAAUGGGACAACAGCGCCCUCCUCAGAGUGGCUGUGAGGAUGAAAUGAGAAACGACAGUAAAGCGCUCAGCACAGUGGAUCAACCAAAACAACAAAGAAGGUACGAGAACAUUCCAUCUGUCCUUUCUCUCUUCUCCUGACUCUAUUCAGACAACAUCAGCUGGCAUUUCCUAUGGCAAGUAGUAUGGCCAAAAUUUGUUGUUAUUGCCUCCUACCUGCUUGAAUCACUCAAGGCUGCCUUCUCCACAGCAGCC